rnacentral:rRNA from 1 species
UAUAUUAAGUUGUUGCAGUUAAAAGCUCGUAUUGAAUUUCGGGAUCAAAUUGUUGGUCGUGCUUCGGUACGCACUGGCAUUAUUGGUUCCUACCUUCUGAAGAACCGCGAUGUCAUUAAUUUGGUGUCGUGGGGAAUCAGGACUGUUACUUUGAAAAAAUUAGA